AGAUAAUGAACUUGAAUAAGUAUAUAUUUUGAAAAUAUAAAAUAGAAUUAAAAUUUCUAUUAUCUU
rnacentral:tRNA from 2 species